rnacentral:rRNA from 1 species
AACCCCUGUGACAUACCAAUUGUUGCCUCGGCGGAUCAGCCCGCUCCCGGUAAAACGGAACGGCCCGCCAGAGGACCCCUAAACUCUGUUUCUAUAUGUAACUUCUGAGUAAAACCAUAAAUAAAUCAAAACUUUCAACAACGGAUCUCUUGGUUCUGGCAUCGAUGAAGAACGCAGCAAAAUGCGAUAAGUAAUGUGAAUUGCAGAAUUCAGUGAAUCAUCGAAUCUUUGAACGCACAUUGCGCCCGCCAGUAUUCUGGCGGGCAUGCCUGUUCGAGCGUCAUUUCAACCCUCAAGCCCCCGGGUUUGGUGUUGGGGAUCGGCGAGCCUCACGGCAAGCCGGCCCCGAAAUACAGUGGCGGUCUCGCUGCAGCUUCCAUUGCGUAGUAGUAAAACCCUCGCAACUGGUACGCGGCGCGGCCAAGCCGUUAAACCCCCAACUUCUGAAUGUUGACCUCGGAUCAGGUAGGAAUACCCGCUGAACUUAAG